rnacentral:lncRNA from 1 species
UUUUUUUUCCUUUCCUAUAUUCAUUUUACACAUUUCUUCCAACAAAUCCUAGCAGUCGACUCUCCCGAAUCUCCCUCCUCUCACGUUACGUCCUUUAUUUUGGCCCUAUUCUGCAGACUAAUCCAGAGAUAAAGUCGACGGUGAAUGCUAGAUCUUCUUCCUUCAUAUAUGCAAUUACGAAUGAUCCAUGGAAAGUAAUAGGAAUUAGACUAGACAAAGUCUUCAAUAGAUUCAGAUCGAGCUCUUUGCUUACGGGUUUGGGUUUGGUGGAUCUAUGCAAGUCUCAAUUGCAGCUGCCUUGUUUGCUGUGGUUUUGGUGGAAUUCAUGAAAAUGGUGGUUUGGACAGCUGAGGAGAUAGUGUGACUAAGGGUGGAAAGUCAAAGCUGUGUUAGCGGUCGCUGGAGCCAUCUAUUUUGUGUUUGCUUUCUCAGUUCUAUUUCUUCUUCCUUUUUCAAUUUUGUAGAAAAUUGAUUAAUAAUGUAGGCCUCGAAUUUUGCUUUUCAAAUUUUCUAACAAGGACCAAUUUCUUGGAAGUAAGUUUAGUUUUGUGUUAAUUUUUUGGUAUUUAAUUGUGCCGUUUUUCUUUUCUUCUUUAAUGAAAAAACCAUUAAGUUUUUAACGGUGAGUUAACUGAUUACAUUUUUAUUUAAUCAUUGUUAAUGGAAGUAAAGAGAAAGAUGUAUAACUUAAGUGCUCUAAGUUCAUUGAUACAGCUGUAAAAUAGAACUUUGAGCCUUGUGUUCAUAGUAUCUGGGUUUUGUACUUAUUAUGCAGAGGAUUUGACGCCUUGAUUUUUCAAUGCUCAGGAUUUUCUCAACAUUAAUAUAGGGGUAAUAUGCAUCAUUUAUAUUUCCUGAUUUAGUAAACAACAAGGCUUUGUUCAAUGAUGAAACUCUUUGUUGCUUACUAUCUAACUCUAGGCUGUGCAGACAUUAGACAGAGGUUCAAAAACUUCUGAUAAUUUUAUAGUUGUUGCACUUGUAUUCAAAUGUGACCCUUCUUGCUGAUCAGGUGAUUGAUGAUUUAUGACACAGCAUAGACCUAGGAAAUGCCAAUUGUUAGUAAUUGAAGUAGUCAUUUCUUUUGUGUUGCAUUAUUUGACCACUUGUAUUUAUCAAACGAUAUACUAUUCAGGUAAAGAGACUUCAUCCUGAAUUAGUUGCUAUUAGAAAUUAGUCAUUAGUUGAUGAACUCAAAAAAGGGGCUCUGCCCGAUAGAAGACAAGCCUGAAAUUAUUUUCCGAGAGCAGAGAACCUAUCUUGGUUAUCUAUCGUGUGUCACUGAAAUUUCAUUAGCUGGUAAAUGAUAAUCUAACUCAUUCCUCAUUGUGUUACUAAUUCAUAUUUCAGGUUUCCAGCCUCCCGGAUUUAUUUUGGUGAAAAUACUACGGGCACUAAUUUUAGUAAGUGCUUAAUAAAUGAGAAUUUGAUGACUUUCUUUUAGUUCUAUGAAGAAACACCCAUGCUUAUCACUCUUACAAUGAAUUUUUUUUGAACUGGUUAUUUUACGGUGUCAUUUUCUGGUACUUUGAUGUCUGCAAGAAGCAAGGAAUUCUACCCAAUAAAGCUAUUCUGAGGAAUUAUUUAAGGUCUGUCAUCCAUAUUUCAUCCUUUUUGUUCACAUAAGAUUCAUUAUGGCAUGAAGGAACUUACAAUAUAUAACCAUUUUUGGUGUCAUUGGUGUCUUUAUUGGCAUAUGGAAACUAGGCUUUGGCCAUUGGAUGGGCACCUCUUGUUCUUCUUGUGGGGUUUCAAACUUUGAAUUUUAUCUUCUGACUUUUCGGACAAUCGUGGGAAAUUUUCUUCAAAUUUGGAAAAAUCUGAAACUUUUUAUGCUUUCCAUUUAUGGGGAAGUUGUUAAAACUUUGUUGUAAUUAUUCGUUGUAUAACUAGGGUUAAUAUGAAAACUUUAGACAAAGUCAAGUUUUGAAUUUUAGUGGAAAUCUAGGCAAAAAAAGAGUUUAUAAAUGUGAAGAGUUCUUUUAAUUGCUAUAAAAAGUACUAAAAAUUGACUAUUUAAAAUUUUUUGAAGAACGACGACAUUUUGCUCAAGAGAGUAAGAGAAUCUUGUAUAGAUUUCUUGUUAUUAUAGAAAAGAUGAAAUUUGAAAAACUUUAACCUUUAGCUUGUUGAAAUAAGAGCUGUUUCAGUAUUUCUAGAAUAAUUGCUGAUCACUUCUAGCAACUUAUUCAGUCGUUGACUCCUUUAAAACUAAACUAAUCACUAAAAUAUAAAUUGUUUAAUUUUUUAAUAAUUUUCUUUAUCGUAGUUAUGUAUCUUUGUUGACUAAUCUGACACAACCCGCCCCGUGUAACAAUCCGAUGAUAGAUACCAACGAAAAGUCGGACCCACCAUCAAGGCUACUACAAAUACAAUAUAUCACUUUUUAUACAUUAUUUUUCUAACAGAAUUUCGAUAUUAUCUCCCCUAUAAAUAGGACUAACCAACCUAUGAUCAAUUUCACACAAAUCCCAAACUAUAGCACAGCACGAUAACGAUAAGCCGAAAUCUCACUUUUACCAAGAAAUAAAAUGAAAUAUAUAUACGGAUACAUAAUAUAUAGUGAGCCCCAUAACUAUCUACAAGUGAUGCAAAAUCACAUCUAGACAUGAACAUACAUCCCAAAACACUGACUACAUGUUCUAUGAAGUGAUUCAUACUAAUAAACUCUGUCGUGUGGCUCUGACUCUAAAAUCAAUGCUCAACUCCAAAAGAUGCCCAGAUUCUCAACUGCUGCCUGAUAAGAAAAAAUGUGGAAAAUAUAUGAGUUAAUAGUUCAGUGAGGGGAGAAGUUCAAAAUAAAUAUACUUUUUUCGUUUGUACAUUUUUAUUGAAAAUCAAAUUCAUAUCAUUUGAUAAUUCACAAACUACCAUCAUGUAAUUAUAGCCAAAAGUGAAAUAUUCACAUAAGGUCAUAAAAUAUCAUCUUAAAAUUAUGAUAUAACAUCAGCUGAUAAUCAUGCUAUAAUUUCAUCACAUCAAACGUGCUGAAAAAUCUAUCAAAAAUGUACACUCUAACUGAAAUAUAUAAUCCACCUCUAGGGCUAAGAACUUUCGUCACAGACCUUUGGCCCCUUCCGUGAACAAAAGUCGAUCUCAAAGACCUUUCAUUAUCAAUUCUAGAAUAUGGCCAAGGCCCCUUUGUGAACUAUAUGUACACGAUCAAGACCAAUGUCAGGUCAAGACCCUUCGUGUAGGAUAGAACACGGCCAAAGCCCCUCUGUGAAUUAGAAGAAGUCUAUAAUUAUGGGUACUUAUCUGGCUGAUCUCAAUAUUGCACGUCUCACAUACCAAAAAAAUCUCAAUAUCACAUGUCUUACAUACCAAGUCACAAAUAUGUCAUAAAUAAUCUUUGAUAUUUCACAUGUAUCAUAUUAAAAGAAAUUCCCAUAAUAACCAUGUGUUCAAUAUACUUAAUUUAUAAAUAUUUUAAAAAAUAUUUAUAUUUUUCCACUCACAGAACUAUGAACGGAAAAAUCAACUCGAUUGGUACGCUGUCCCGAUAUCCGUAUCGCCGCUUCAAAUAUGAUAUCAUUUUUAAAUCAAUAAUUAACUAUUUUAAGAAAUUUCAUUAAUUAAAUAGGUUAUACCCAAACUUAAUUAUUUCACGUUUAGGUGGUUUCUAAAGUCUCUUUAAUUACUUAAACUAUUUUUUCUUUCAUUUUACUCAAUUUCAUAGUUUAUUAUACUUAACCCUUUAAUAAAAUUGAAUUUAAUUUAACAACCUAACAACUAUAAAAUCAAACAUAACCUUUCAAUAAGUAACUUUUACUUACCUUUCAAAAUUGAGAAAUUCAAGCCUAAUAGUAUAACACACUUAAUUCCUAACGCAUUGGCGAGUUUUCCCCCUUUUUUUCUUCUUUUUCCUUUCUCUUUUUUUCUCUUCUUCUAUUGUGUACCGUUCUUUUUUUUGUCUUGUGUGUGUUGUAUAUUAUUACUUUGGUAUUGGGAUAUCAAUCCAAUUCCACCGCCUCUCUCUCUCUCUCUCUCUCUCUAUAUAUAUAUAUAUAUAUAUAUAUAAUGUAUUACAAAUCUGUUUGAAUGGUUUUCGAUAGUUAUUUUUUAAAGUUUCAUUUUAGCAAUUAAAUUUUCAUUAUUAUAUUUUUUCUUAGAUAAUGCAUGCAACUCUUUUGGUUAUGUAGAGAAUAUAUACAUAUCUUUUGGUUAUGCUGAGAGAGUUUGUAUGAAGAUGAAGAAAUUGAUAAGAGAAAACUAACUGAAUUGCUUGUUCCCAAG